CUACGGAGGGUGCAAGCGUUAAUCGGAAUUACUGGGCGUAAAGCGUACGUAGGCGGUUAUUUAAGUCAGAUGUGAAAGCCCCGGGCUUAACUUGGGAACUGCAUUUGAAACUGGGUAACUAGAGUUUAGUAGAGGGGAGUGGAAUUUCAGGUGUAGCGGUGAAAUGCGUAGAGAUCUGAAGGAACACCAGUGGCGAAGGCGACUCCCUGGACUAAAACUGACGCUGAGGUACGAAAGCGUGGGUAGCAAACAGGAUUAGAAACCCUGGUAGUCC
rnacentral:rRNA from 1 species